AUUGAACGCUGGCGGCAGGCCUAACACAUGCAAGUCGAGCGAGCGGCGGACGGGUGAGUAAUGUAUGGGGACUGCCCGAUAGAGGGGGAUAACUACUGGAAACGGUAGCUAAUACCGCAUACUAUCGGAUAACCCAUGUGGGAUUAGCUAGUAGGUGGGGUAAUGGCUCACCUAGGCGACGAUCCCUAGCUGGUCUGAGAGGAUGAUCAGCCACACUGGGACUGAGACACGGCCCAGACUCCUACGGAGGCAGCAGUAGGGAAUAUUGCACAAUGGGCGAAAGCCUGAUGCAGCCAUGCCGCGUGUGUGAAGAAGGCCUUAGGGUUGUAAAGUUCUGUCAGUCGGGAGGCGUUACCGACAGAGGAAGCACCGGCUAACUCCGUGCCAGCAGCCGCGGUAAUUC
rnacentral:rRNA from 1 species